rnacentral:rRNA from 1 species
GAUGAACGCUGACAGAAUGCUUAACACAUGCAAGUCUUUGGCGAAGCUGUGCUCGCACAGCCUAGCCAAGGCGGACGGGUGAGUAACGCGUAAGGAACUUGCCCUGCAGUCAGGGAUAACAGACGGAAACGACUGAUAAGACCUGGUAAAGUCAGGCGGACUCAUGUCCAGCCUGAUGAAAAGAGAUGCUGCAGGAGAGCCUUGCGUCCUAUUAACUUGUUGGUGGGGUAACGGCCCACCAAGGCGAUGAUAGGUAGCCGGCCUGAGAGGGUGGACGGCCACAAGGGGACUGAGAUACGGCCCUUACUCCUACGGGAGGCAGCAGUGGGGAAUAUUGGACAAUGGGGGCAACCCUGAUCCAGCAAUUCUGUGUGCACGAUGAAGGUUUUCGGAUUGUAAAGUGCUUUCAGCAGGGAAGAAAAAAAUGACGGUACCUGCAGAAGAAGCGACGGCUAAAUACGUG